ACUUGCUCCCCUCUAUCAAUCGGAUAUUGGACACAGUCUCGGAGGGAGGUCCAGCUCUGACUGGCCUGACUGAGUAGAAAAACACACUGCCAUAUCCGCUGCUGUGGUGGAUUCCAUGGAGAACCCCCAAGAUUACAGACCUGGAUUCAAAUGAAUAGUGCCUCAACAAAUAGAAGCAGCAGAAAAUGCAGACAUCUCCCGGAGGGUCGGCUAACAGGGACACCUAAUCCCCCAACACCACGACCAACUGGCGCAACUGGGUACGGCUAUGGAUGAGGUCCUCCGCGUUCUCCAACAUCAUCCGAGGGGCAUCACCUCUAACUAGCGGAGGACCCUCUACCACGAGUCGUCCCUGCCAGCCAGUCACCCAGCCCAUCCAGCAGUUAGCGAUGCCUGAUUGUCCCUCCCGUACAAAUAUGAUGGGACUCCAUCUAAAUGUCGUGGCUUCCUACUCCAGUGCUCCCUCUAUUCCGCCCAUCAGACGAGAGCCCCUACCACUGAGAGGUCCAAGGUUGCCACGGCCAUUUCCCUGCCAGUCAGACGGGCGUUGAAGUGGGCCACGGCCAUCUGGGAGAGAGGAAAGGAGGAGCUGUUGUGAGCGCUGUAGUAUCUGUGAUCUACAUCUGUUUAUAUUAGUUACUAUGCUGUUACUAAGCAGUAAUGUAUUACGCAGUGUUUCGUUACUACACCUAAAAGGAAAUGCACAUGCGCACUAUGGUGCCCGGGAACUGUAGAGGGCGAGGGGUUUUGACUAAACAAAAACUAACUGUA